GAUCACCACCAGCACGUAGACCACACACAGGCAGCCCACGGUGGUCACGACCACAGGGUUGUCCUCAAAGGUGGCAAAGAGCUCAGCAGUCUGGUGGAUGUUGAUGGCAUUGGACAUCACCAGGAACGUGCUUCCGAAGAAACACCGACAGUCCCGCUGACAUCAAAGUGGCUUCGGGCUGGAAAGGGGCUCUUUGGGAAACUCAUGAUCUGAAACCAAGAGCAAGG
rnacentral:lncRNA from 1 species